rnacentral:lncRNA from 1 species
CUUGACUGUCCUAGUGUUUACAAUUGUGUUUCAAUACCUUGUUUUAUAACUGGCUAAUUUGAUGGUAUUUCAGGGAGCCGGUAUUCAACAGUCCUGGAGGUUCCAUCAAGACACAGUAGACAUCUGCUCUCCACAGUGACUUAACCCUCCACAAGGAAACAGCGCUCCUCAAAGGCUCCUUGAGCCUCUUUCUCUAAAGUCUCCAUGACAAGAGUGUUGCUCUAAGUCCGCAUUGGGUUUAAGCUUCAAUUGUUUUUAACUUCCCCAAAUGCACACCUACGCAAUAAGCCACCAAAAGACUUUCGGAAAUAGAUGUUGAAACUGAUACCUUCUUCACGUGAAACGCCGCGGAGACACUCCCCCGAAACCCUCUUGGCUGUUCCAUCGGUAACACUUUCUUGUGGUGGACUCAUUACAUCUGUUGAUCAUCUGGAUUCAGAGCCUUUAAUUUGACCUUCACAUAAGAAACGUGAAGACUCCCGAAUCCUAACAUUCUUAUGUGCAGUCGCUCCAGUCUGUAAAACCUGGUGAAGCAUUAUUAGAAGACAAAAAAUCGGUCAAGCUAUGCUACAAAGCCAAAUUGAGUCCUUUAAUGAAUUCAACUUUUAACAAUAUAAUUUAGUUUAAAUAAUAGUAUAUUUAUAGUCACAAUCAAUUUAAAAAACAUUUUCUCGUUUUUCUCCUUUAAAAUAUUUUGUUUCAUUCCUGUGAUAAAAAGAAUUGAUUUUUGUUCUUCUACUACGUAAAUUUGUGGAGAAGUGUGGUGUUUUUCUGUUUUGCUUUUACAGCCCUCAGCAAAUUUUGGCAUAAGAGCAGUCAGUGGUGUUUCACAGUCUCUGUGGCAAAUAGUUCACUUUUCCACAGGUCACACGAAAGUUUAUUCAAGGAAGAUUCAGCUUAACUUGAUUCAUUCAUUUAUUCAGCAAAUGUUUCCUAAGAGCUU